UGGUAAAUCUCGUGCCAGCCACCGCGGUUAUACGAGUGACUCACAUUAACACAUCACGGCGUAAAGAGUGAUUAAAGAAUGACCUCAAACUUACUAAAGUUCAGACCUCAUAAAGCUGUUAUACGCACCCAUGAGUAGAAUAAACAACAACGAAAGUGACUUUAUAAAUUUAAGAAACCUUGAUGUCACGACAGUUGGGACC
rnacentral:rRNA from 1 species